ensembl:lncRNA
AGUAACAGUGACAAUAGCAGUAACAGUGACAGUAAUAGUAAAAGUCGUAAUAAAGAAAAUAAAAUAUUCGAAAACUUUUGCAACAUAUUUAUUGAAGAUGAUAAUAACCCGAACAGUAGUAAUCUAACACCACCACCACAAAGUCUUCCUAAUUAUAGAUAUGAUCAACAAAGUAAUGGUUAUAAUUAUUAUUCCAAAAAAAACAAAACAGAAUCAAUGUUAAAAUAUAAUAAUAUUAUAAAAAAAAGUAAAUAUACAAAUUCACAUAAAUUAUCGAAAUAUUUCAAAUUUUUUAUUUUUAAUACAGUAAAAAAUAUAUUUCAUAAUAUAGUCUCUAGUCUUAACACCCAAUUGUUGAAAGAUGUCAAAAAACAACAACAACAAAACCAAUACAAUAAUAAUAAUAAUAAUACUGCUACAACACCUUAUAAAGAAAAUGAUCAAAUUCAGAAUGAAACAACAUUUGUAUUUACGAAUUUAAAAAAUGCACUGGAGGUAGUUAAUAGUAAUGAAUAUGUUGCAAAAGAUACUGAAAAUAAAGAUGUUUUUAGUCAUACGUUCUCAAAUAAAAAUAUAAAAGAUAAUAAAGAAUAUAUGACAGGUGAAAUAGAUUAUAAACAUAUAGUAAGUCAAAAAAGUAGUAAUAAUAUAAUACCUAUUGAAGAAAUUCAUAUGAAUACCAAAAGUGAUAUUACCAACUCAUAUAUAAACGUCAUCGACAAAUAUAUAAACGAAAUAAUAGUUGAAAUUUUAUUUUAUUCAAAUAUAUGGAAAAUGUAUUUAUCCAUAGAAGAACAUCCAUUAAUGGUGUUACAUGCUGCUCAUAAAACAUUAUACCAUGAAAUAGUUAACUUUUUAAAACAAAAUAAAAAUUAUAAUGACAGUUUAUUUACCCAAUGUUUAUCUAUUAUUUUGUCUUUGUAUAAUUUUAAUUUACUUAAUAAAGAAAUUAUUUUGCAAGCUAAUAUAUAUAAAAAGGUAAACACCUUACGUAAUAAUAAAAAUAAAAGAGGUGAUGCUGCUUAUGGUGGUACAGAUGGUACUGCUGCUGCUGCUGGUUCUGACAAUGCUCCUUCUGGUGCAACACCCUCUACUCCCAAACAUAACAAGAUGGAAACAAAAAUUUUUAAAUAUUAUACAACUAGAGGCUCGAUUAUAACUAUGAAUAGCACCAACAAUGUAGAAAACAAUUACUACAACAAAAAUGUGUUUCCGCUAAACGAAAACUUAAAAAAU